CCUACGGGUGGCAGCAGUGGGGAAUAUUGCACAAUGGGGGAAACCCUGAUGCAGCAACGCCGCGUGAAGGAAGACGGGUUUCGGAUUGUAAACUUCUGUUCUUAGUGAAGAAUAAUGACGGUAGCUAACUAGCAAGCCACGGCUAACUACGUGCCAGCAGCCGCGGUAAUACGUAGGUGGCAAGCGUUGUCCGGAGUUACUGGGUGUAAAGGGGGCGCAGGCGGGAAGCCAAGUCAGCUGUGAAAGCUCCGGGCUUAACUUGUGGACUGCAGUUGAAACUGGUUUUCUUGAGUGAAGUAGGGGUAGGCGGAAUUCCUGGUGUAGCGGUGAAAUGCGUAGAUAUUCGGAGGAACACCGGUGGCGAAGGCGGCCUACUGGGCUUUAACUGACGCUGAGGCUCGAAAGUGUGGGGAGCAAACAGGAUUAGAUACCCCAGUAGUC
rnacentral:rRNA from 1 species